AUUGAACGCUGGCGGCAGGCCUAACACAUGCAAGUCGAGCAGCAGCGGGGAAGUAGCUUGCUACUUUUGCCGGCGAGCGGCGGACGGGUGAGUAAUGCCUGGGAAAUUGCCCAGUCGAGGGGGAUAACAGUUGGAAACGACUGCUAAUACCGCAUAUGCCCUACGGGGGAAAGCAGGGGACCUUCGGGCCUUGCGCGAUUGGAUAUGCCCAGGUGGGAUUAGCUAGUUGGUGAGGUAAUGGCUCACCAAGGCGACGAUCCCUAGCUGGUCUGAAAGGAUGAUCAGCCACACUGGAACUGAGACACGGUCCAGACUCCAACGGGAGGCAGCAGUGGGGAAUAUUGCACAAUGGGGGAAACCCUGAUGCAGCCAUGCCGCGUGUGUGAAGAAGGCCUUCGGGUUGUAAAGCACUUUCAGCGAGGAGGAAAGGUCAGUAGCUAAUAUCUGCUGACUGUGACGUUACUCGCAGAAGAAGCACCGGCUAACUCCGUGCCAGCCGCCGCGGUAAUAC
rnacentral:rRNA from 1 species